UACGUAGGGUGCGAGCGUUAAUCGGAAUUACUGGGCGUAAAGCGUGCGCAGGCGGUUUUGUAAGCCGGAUGUGAAAUCCCCGGGCUCAACCUGGGAAUGGCAUUCGGGACUGCAAGGCUGGAGUGCGGCAGAGGAGACUGGAAUUCCUGGUGUAGCAGUGAAAUGCGUAGAUAUCAGGAGGAAUACCGAUGGCGAAGGCAGGUCUCUGGGCUGACACUGACGCUCAUGCACGAAAGCGUGGGGAGCAAACAGG
rnacentral:rRNA from 1 species